rnacentral:rRNA from 1 species
AAUCAACGCUGGCGGCGUGCCUCAGACAUGCAAGUCGAACGCUGCUGUUCGCUUUCGGGUGGACAGUGGAGUGGCGCACGGGUGAGUAACACGUAGGUAAUCUACCUUUGGGUGGGGAAUAACAGCCGGAAACGGCUGCUAAUACCGCAUAAUGCAGCGGCAUCACAUGAUGACAGUUGUUAAAGCGGGGGAUCGUAAGACCUCGCGCCUGAAGAGGAGCCNGCGGCAGAUUAGGUAGUUGGGUGGGGUAAUGGCUCACCAAGCCUGCGAUCUGUAACCGGCCUGAGGAGGGCGGUCGGUCACACUGACACUGACAUACGGGUCAGACUCC